rnacentral:rRNA from 1 species
GACGAACGCUGGCGGCGUGCUUAACACAUGCAAGUCGAACGAGAAAGCACCUUCGGGUGUGAGUACAGUGGCGAACGGGUGAGUAACACGUGGGCAACCUGCCCUGGAGACUGGGAUAACGUCCCGAAAGGGACGCUAAUACCGGAUGAUGCGCGACCUGCCAAGUAGGUCGCGCCAAAUGGUAGCUUCGGCUUCUACUCUGGGAUGGGCCCGCGCCGGAUUAGCUUGUUGGUGGGGUAAUGGCCUACCAAGGCGACGAUCCGUAGCUGGUCUGAGAGGACGAUCAGCCACACUGGGACUGAGACACGGCCCAGACUCCUACGGGAGGCAGCAGUGGGGAAUCUUGCGCAAUGGGCGAAAGCCUGACGCAGCAACGCCGCGUGAGCGAAGACGGCCUUCGGGUUGUAAAGCUCUGUCAGGAGGGACGAAGCCACUCAGGUGAAUAGCCGAGAGGGUGACGGUACCUCCAGAGGAAGCCCCGGCUAACUACGUGCCAGCCGCCGCCGUAACAC